rnacentral:lncRNA from 1 species
UUUUUUUUUUUUCUUUUUGAAGUAAAAUUAUAAGACUGGAGAUUUUUACAGUCCUUGAAUAUUCCUGAUAUCAUCAGCCAUGUAGGCAACCUGGGGCACUCUCCCCCUGCCCUUUGGCAGGAUCCCCAGCUGCUGACAGCAGGGCUAAACUGGCAACAGGGCAGAGGGCUGCUUUUGACUAAAGAUGGGUCCCACUGAUGAAUAUCGCACCCGCUUAAUGAAGUCAAGGCCACGGACUCACGGCCUUUUAUGGUUCAUCUCCUCUCAUUCAGCUUCACCCUCAGAGACCACACCACUAAUCCUAGCCAGUCAUAUUCUAUGUAUGCAACUGGUGACUCAGGGACCAGAUAAAAGUACAUGAAUCUCAUCUAGAAAACAGUGGCCAGAAAUCUCUGUAUACAGCAGGCUCAGAGCUAAAAAAUAUGUUCACAGAGCAUCUCCUGUAGUAUAAGCAGCAACUCCAGGAGAUACAUAGAGCAGAUAAUUCCACACAUAAGAAAAACAAAAAAAAAAAAACAAAAAAAAAAACUGCAGGAAAUUAAGGAAAGUUCUGGGAUUAGAAUUCAGGUAUUUUUGAUCAUCAGACUGCUCUUUCACCACAGGAGGCUAACCCUCUUGGGAUCUCAUUUGAUUCUCAUCUGAAUCCUGUAAAAUAAGGCAGGCUGUAUAAACAAGUAAGUCGAUUUGCCAGGAGCCAGUGGAGCAGGUGCUCUUAAGCCCCUGCCUUGAAUUUGGCUGAACCCCCAAUUACCUAAACAACUGUAUUUUUCAGUCUAUCCUAGAUCGUUGAUAUUCAUGGAUGGUGGCAGAUUUCAAAGUGAUAAAAUUCUAGUCUGUUGUAAGGGUCUGGGCUGAUCCACCCAGGUCAGUCAGAGGAAGGGGACUUAGAAAUGCAGUGAACAUCUCAGGAGUGCUCACUUUCCCGUCAUAAGAAUCAGACCCACUAAUUCUCUGGUUGCUUCUGAUUUUGUUGAAUAUAUUGGGAGCAUUUGCUUUUGGACACGACCUCAACAUUAAAUUUUGGAAUAUCUCAAAAUUCCUAAAAUAAAAAUUCUUGGGUUAUAUGUUGCUUUGUGUUUGUUAUACUUAGUCUCAUAUCUAUACUACAAACACUCAGAAGACGAUUGUCUUUAUUUCUCAUUAGAACACAUCACCAAUAAUACUUGGUGCCAUAAACUUUACGCCAAUUUAGCGCCAGUGUAGACCUGCCACCAAGUUGGUUAGGAGUCUAAUCCAAAUAGUAUCUUCAAUUAUCUAGAAGUAAUUAGUAGUAUUGUUUGCAUUUACUUUAUUUGUAUUUUUGUAAUUUUUGUCUUGAUUAUAGGGCUCUAUUAUACCUUUACAUUGCUCCUAAGAUAAAAGACUAUAAUCAAAUGCAACCUUGUCUAAGGUGAAGAAUGGAUGCAAAGAUUUAUAAUAAAUGGGAAAAAAUCAAAAUGAGCAGUUGGUCAGUUGUGGAUUCAGUCUAGGCAAUUGAGGUUAAAGCCUUGCUUUUAAUUUUUUCAUCAAUAGCAGAGGGGCUGAAUAUUUUUCCUUGAAACUUCUUGCAUCAGAAUGUAUCUCUUUCAUUUGCCUAAAGAUGUUGACCAAGGAUAUGAAGGAGUCUGAUGCUGUAAUUAUCUACUGGUAUUCACCUAGGUAAUCAUCUGGUAAAACAUUUAGUUUUUAAAAUUAUUUGCAUCUUCUUGUUUGAAUACUGAAGAGACCCACCAUGAUGCUACCUAAAUACUGGGCUGCGGUAGAGGUGUUGGGGGUGGAGUUUCAGGCUUUUAUUCAUUCUAUUUAUGUUGAAGUUAAGUGAAUUAGCUCAUGCUCAUAAGUCAGUUGUGCUGUUAUCAUUGGGUAAUCAUUCUGAUCAUUCAUUAUUUUUCAUUCUUGGAGAUCCAAAUGGAUGAAGUCAUUUUAUACGGCUGUACUCUUCAUUAUGGUAGCUAUUAGCCAAAUUAAAAUAAAUUAAAAUUAAAAACUAAGGGAGUUCCUUGGUGGCCUAGUGGUUAAGGAUCUGGCAUUGUCACUGCUGCGACUUGGGUCACUGCUAUGGUAUGGGUUCAAUCCCUGGCCUGGGAACUUCUGCAUGCCACAGGUAUGGCCAAAAAAAGGUAAAAAUUAAGUUCCAUGGUUCCAAAUUAAGUUGACCAACAACGCUGGUCACCUACGUAAACACAUUUUGUGGUGUAGCUUUCUGGGUUAUGUAUCUUCAAAUCAUCAUGACUACAUUUGUGGUUAGUGGCUACUGUACUGGACAGUGCCAAUUUAUAGAACAUUUCUGUCACCAUAAAAAUUUCUAUUGGACAAAGUUCUUCUAAAGUAAAAGACUGAAAUCCAAGACAAGCCAUAGAAAUGCAUCCUAUAUCCAAUUAUUUAUUUGUAGAACAAUAUAAUCUAAGUUACAGAGGCUUGUAGGAUGAGGCUGCUGGGGCCUGGGCAUGGGGGAGGAGGUGGCCUGAAUCUUCCUUCUCAAAGCAUGAACUGGCCCUUUGUGUCAUGAGAGAGGAUGAGCCAAAUCUCUAGAGAAAGGGCAGGUGCAGAUAAGCCAUUUCCAUUUUCCACUCCUGCAACUCCCAGAACCUUGAGUCCAGACCUGCCGCCAAGUCCUGCUUGCACAGAAGCCCAAACCAAAGAGUGUUUUGGACUAAUUUUCUGGACGUUAUUUCUUUGCAAAAUCUAGCUUGUGCCUUUGAUUAAGGACUUCUUUUUUUUUUUUUGCCAUGAAUUUAAAUGAAUCUGAACCUAGCAGUGUUCCCUACCAGCCAUGGCAUUUAGCAUAGGCAUUAACCAAAAGAAAUAAGGCUUUGGGCAAGUAAGGAUUAUCACAGAGACUGAGCAGUGCAGUUCAGUGUUCCUGGACUGGAUGUCUUUAAGUGAAUAUCAUUCAUUGUCUCCUUGUCAUUGCCGCUGUGCAAGUAAACCUAUCAUAGACCGAAGUUCUUUCUCUGAGUUGGAAAAGGUGAGGAGAGUCUCCAGUGUUUCCUGCAGAAGCCACUUUUAAACUUGUAAAAACUUAAACUUAACAAAUCACCAAUCCCAUCCUUUUCUCCAAUAUAUCUUACUAGAACAAUCUCUACUAUAUCAAGAAAGAGACUGAGUCAGAAUGUUUUCAUAAGAUUGUUUAGUCAUUCGCAAAAAGCACAUGGGAGACAAUUCUCAUUACUUUUAUCACAUACUUCUUCAAAGUGGGCUUUGGGGGAACAUGUUUUAUAUUCUUAGUAGAUUGUAAGUCCCCUAAAACUGCUAAUAAUACAUAUUUGCAUCCCAUACGGUACCUGAUUCAGCAGGAGAUGCUCAGCCCCUUGCUUCAACUCCAAAUAUUUAUGGAACAAAUAUUUGUUUCCAUCAACAAAUAUUUAUGGAACAUACUGAUGAAUGAAUAAGGAGUUUAUGGGUGACAAAUUUGUCUAGCUUGGUAGCUUUCAGCUGAUAUCUAUAAAAAUUUGGGGGGCAGAUGGGAAAGAGGUACAAAAUUUGGGAACAAACACAGAUUGUGAGCUGAUUGAAAGUGUAUCACUUUGAAGCUUCCUUUGAAUUUCCAUAGGGUUAUGAUGGGACAGAAGACUUUUUUUCAAGGGCAACUGUGUUUCAAUUGAGGUUCAGAGAUGUGCAUUCAGCCUUUCAUCUCCUUUACAGAACUUCCUUUCUGACAUUCUUCCUGGAAGUAGGAAACCUAAAAUACUGCAUAAAUUUGUAUCAUAGUGUUUGGGGUUGAUGGCUGAGGGGCAUAAUAAUGGAUUUAGCUGACACUGAAAAUAAUUUACAGAAAAACCUUGAAAUCCAUCCUCAUCUUCAAUAUUUCCAAGAUAAGAGAAUUGUAGAUAUAUGCUGAAGAACCAUAAAAGGGAGUUUAAAAAGUAGAACCUCUUUUGGGUUUUACCAAUAGCGGUCACCUACAUAGGCACAUUUUGUGGUGUAGCUUUCUAGGUCAUGCAUCUUUAAAUCGCCGUGACUAUAUUUGUCUCUUGUCCCAACAGUUUUUCUGGUGUCUCUCCUGCCGAAAAGGUUUCAAUUAGAGCCUGGAAAUGGUUGAUACCGAGCUCUUGCAUGGUGCUUGCCAACAUGGGAAUUGCUUUUAAACGUGGCUGUUUUUCAUCCAAAAAAAAAAAAUCCCCCCUUCCUGCCCUGGAGUUAGAAGAGAUUAGUCUCAGACAGGCGGUUAGCUGAUUUUUAAUGUCAAAGAAACUUAAUUUGCAAACUCGUUAGAAACUCUUUAGUAAAAGCUGCCUAGUAAAACAGAUGAUUAAUAUUGGUAAGCUCCUCAUUUGCAUAUUAAUUAGUCUCCAUACUCAACUAAUUAAAACUGCACUGCCUUUUUGAGGACUUCCUUCUACACUGUUGAUCUUGUUUCUAUGUAUAAGCAUGUAUUUUAAUGAAAAUAAGAGUUAGUGAUUAGGUCUGUACUUUUCUAAUGUACUAAUUUUUUUCAUCUGUGACACUUGGGAUCCCUUGAGAAGUUAUAGGACCAUCUCUAGGUAGCCAUUUCAUUGGCCCACAGAGCACUUUUUUCCCCAGGUUAUGUGUCCUUCAAUUUUCAAGGGAGGAAAAUAGUUGGAUUAUCCAUGACUGGUAACAAUCGGAAAUAAGAAAGGCAGAAAAUUGUAUUUCGGUAUUUGUUUUCAAUAUUUGUAUUUCUCCAUAAUAUUUCAAUAUUUUGUUUUCCAUAUUUGUCUGGCUCUAUAAAAGUAUACUUCUAGUACGGUAUUUUUUGACAUUUAACCUUAGCUACUCUAAAAUUUAGUCUACUUUUUAACUAAAAAUGUUAAUUAGAAAAUUACUGAGUAGGAAAGUAGGCUAAUCUAGUUCCAAAAAUCAUGCACAGAAAGCCAAGUUAUUGGGCAUAAGACCUUAGCUCGUAUUGGUAAGAGCCUAUUUCCAUUGUGGGCAAAACAAAACCAACUAAAUAAAUAAAAAUACCUAUGAAAAUAAACAAUCUUUGAGUACAGUGCUCUCAAAUGAGAUUCAAGAGAAAUUAUAUUAGUCCCAAUCAGGCAACAUUGGCCAAACUGCUAGACUUUUCUCUCAGCUACAAGAACCAAAACCAAAAUGCAGGGAGUGCCUGUCUCAGGCAUUUUCUCAUGACACCGAUCCCCAAAUUGAGUUAGAUGUCAUUUUUAGGUUCUUCCAGAGCACUGUUGAUUACACUUCCAAUAGACCACAUGUUAUAGUACUAUCAUCAUAUCUUUACUUACACUCUUUACUGGAUGAUUCUCCAUAGCAAGGCCUCUAUAUUGCUCAUUAUUAUAUCCCCCAAAAGCUUAUCACAGUGCUUGUGAUAUAGUAUGUACUAAUUAAGUAAUUUCUGGAUAAAUGGGUAAACAAAUAACACAUGGAUUUAACAAUAAACACGUUAUGUGUUAUAUCUAUUACUACAUAACAAUAACCCCCAAACUUAGAGACUAAAACCAAUGUUAUUUCUCAUGAUUCUGAGAGUUGGCUGGACUCUUCUGCUCUCUCAUGGUGAACACCAUGGUUCCCUCAUGGUGCUGCAUUCAGUUGUGGGUCUUCAGGGGUUACACUCAGCUGGGACAGCCAAGAAUCUGGAAUUCUCUCUCCAUAUGUCUUUCAUCCUCAAGUCAGCUCCUAGGCGCUCCUACCAUGGUAGCAGUAGUGUUCUAAUCUAUCCAGUGUCUUAUGCCUCCUUUGCAGAACUUCCUUUCUGACAUUCUUCCUGGCAGUAGGAAACCUAAAGGCAUUGUAUGAAUUUGCACUGUAUUUGUUGUAACCUCCUUCUAAUAUGACUUCCCCUUCUGCAGAGACUUAAAAUGAUAAAAUCUAUAUUUAUCAGACUCCCUUGCAGCUAAGAUCCUUGAUGACUUAGCUUCACCUCAUCAGAUGAACAGUAUGAGAACUUGGAAACUAAGUCUAGUGGGAAACUAAGUCAAGUGGGAGCUUGAAGGGCAUUAAAGGGCAUCGGCUUUUGCUAGCAUGAAUAACAGCAGCUGGAGCAUGGCUUUGGGGACAAGAGUCGUGGUUGGAGUCAUGUCCCGAGUGCAUGGGUUUGAUGAUAUGAUCUCAGAGUCUGCAGCAGGUGUGGCACCUUCUGGACUCUUAGCAUGUAAACUGUAGCAGAGGGAGCGGUUCCCUUGGUGGGCUGCUUCAAAGGUGAUGUUUGAGAGGCAUUUUUCGUGAAGAUCUUGCCUAAUGCUCACCUAUCUAGCCCUUUUAGUACUUUUGUAGGCACCAAAGUCCUUUUCUGUUUAAAAUAGCCAGCAUAGUUUCUGUUUUCUGCACCGAACCCUGAUAGGUAGAUUUCCUUCCAAAAUUAUAAUGGGGUUUCCAUGAAACAUUUUAUGUAAGAGUGAUUGGCACAAAGUAAGAACUCAUUUUCUUCUCUUAUAAUUUGUAUAUACAAAGUCACAGAUGAAACAUCCAAAUGUUUUGAAAGAUUUUGAUGACUGACUUUUUCCUCUGUGUCUCUUUCACUUAGUUUUCAGUUGGCCUGUAAAUACAAUCUUUAAUCAAAAACCUAGAGUCACACCAUGUACAAACAGAAAUAUAGAGAUGCAAAAUACAUCCUUCUCUUAGUCCUUUAACAAAGGUUUAUUGGCUAUAUAAUAAGAUUAAGUGUCUGAUCCUGACCUCGGGCAAAUCAUUUUAGCUCCCUGAGCCUCAGUUUUC